UNCGGGANNCAGCAGUAGGNAAUNUUCNGCAAUGGANGNAANUCUGACGNAGCAACNNCGCNUGAGNGAUGAAGGUNUNNNGAUCGUAAAGCUCUGUUGUUAGGGAAGAACAAGUGCAAGAGUAACUGCUUGCACCUUGACGGUACCUAACCAGAAAGCCACGGCUAACUACGUGCCAGCAGCCGCGGUAAUACGUAGGUGGCAAGCGUUGUCCGGAAUUAUUGGGCGUAAAGGGCUCGCAGGCGGUUUCUUAAGUCUGAUGUGAAAGCCCCCGGCUCAACCGGGGAGGGUCAUUGGAAACUGGGAAACUUGAGUGCAGAAGAGGAGAGUGGAAUUCCACGUGUAGCGGUGAAAUGCGUAGAGAUGUGGAGGAACACCAGUGGCGAAGGCGACUCUCUGGUCUGUAACUGACGCUGAGGAGCGAAAGCGUGGGGAGCGAACAGGAUUAGAUACCCUGGUAGUCCACGCCGUAAACGAUGAGUGCUAAGUGUUAGGGGGUUUCCGCCCCUUAGUGCUGCAGCUAACGCAUUAAGCACUCCGCCUGGGGAGUACGGUCGCAAGACUGAAACUCAAAGGAAUUGACGGGGGCCCGCACAAGCGGUGGAGCAUGUGGUUUAAUUCGAAGCAACGCGAAGAACCUUACCAGGUCUUGACAUCCUCUGACAACCCUAGAGAUAGGGCUUUCCCUUCGGGGACAGAGUGACAGGU
rnacentral:rRNA from 1 species